AUCUGUUUGAUGAGUCCCAAAUAGGACGAAACUUGAGUCCUGGAU
rnacentral:hammerhead_ribozyme from 1 species